AUUGAACGCUGGCGGCAGGCCUAACACAUGCAAGUCGAACGAGUGGCGGACGGGUGAGUAAUGUCUGGGAAACUGCCUGAUGGAGGGGGAUAACUACUGGAAACGGUAGCUAAUACCGCAUACCAUCGGAUGUGCCCAGUGGGGAUUAGCUAGGGGGUGGGGUAACGGCUCACCUAGGCGACGAUCCCUAGCUGGUCUGAGAGGAUGACCGGCCACACUGGAACUGAGACACGGCCCAGACUCCUACGGGAGGCAGCAGUGGGGAAUAUUGCGCAAUGGGCGCAAGCCUGAUGCAGCCACGCCGCGUGUAUGAAGAAGGCUUUCGGGUUGUAAAGUACUGUCAGCGGGGAGGCGUUACCCGCAGAAGAAGCACCGGCUAACUCCGUGCCAGCAGCCGCGGUAAUUC
rnacentral:rRNA from 1 species